GAUGAACGCUGGCGGCGUGCCUAAUACAUGCAAGUCGAGCGAACGGACGAGAAGCUUGCUUCUCUGAUGCUAGCGGCGGACGGGUGAGUAACACGUGGAUAACCUACCUAUAAGACUGGGAUAACUUCGGGAAACCGGAGCUAAUAACGGAUGAUAUUUUGAACCGCAUGGUUCAAAAGUGAAAGACGGUCUUGCUGUCACUUAUAGAUGGAUACGCGCUGCAUUAGCUAGUUGGUAAGGUAACGGCUUACCAAGGCAACGAGGGAUAGCCGACCCCAAAGGGUGAUCCGCCACCCGGGAACUGAGACACGGUCCAGACUCCUACAGGAGGCAGCAGUCGGGAAUCUUCCGCAAGGGGCGAAAGCCUGACGUAGCAACGCGGCGUGAGUGAUGAAGGUCUUAUGAUCGUAAAACUCUGUUAUUAGGGAGGAACAUAUGUGUAAGUAACUGUGAACAUCUUGACGGUACCUAAUCAGAAAGCCACGGCUAACUACGUG
rnacentral:rRNA from 1 species